UUGAGUAUUAAGAAAUAGAGGGAUUUUAUUAGAUAAUAUUUUUGUUAAUUUUAUUUUCAUUUUGUUUAGCCUCCAAAGCUCAAGGAAAAAGAUAAUUUUGAAUCUAACAAGAUUUGAAUUGGAAUCACGGUUAAGAAUUGUUUUUUUUUUCUUUUCAAGUUGAGUAUUAAGAAAUAGAGGGAUUUUAUUAGAUAAUAUAUAUUUUUUAAUUUUAUUUUCAUUUUGUUUAGCCUCCAAAACUCAAGGAAAAAGAUAAUUUUGAAUCUAACAAGAUUUGAAUUGGAAUCACUGCUAAGAAUUGUUUUUUUUUUUGGUUGGCAUUAAGAACUCCACUAGGUAGGGCUCCUUCAGGACUCACUCUAAUUACAAACCUGAGAUGUUGUCGCCGGCCCUACACCUUAACAUCAAUUUCAUUCAAAAAAAAAAUAUAUAUAUAAUAAGGAUAGAAGGACUCAGGACAUAUGGUCAGGCCAUUUCCUUACCCACUCUACCAAACCGCGAGGCUUGUUUGUUUUUCUUUGUUUUAACUCUUCCUCUGUUUUUUAGUUUUUUUGGCAGCCAAGCAAAGCACUACCAUACAGAAAAUUUUCACUUUUUUUUUUUAAUUUUUUAUAUCUGUAUUAUAUAUCUCGUUCCAUGAAAACUCAACAGGCAACUCGAAUCCACACAAAUGAUUUGGUACAUAAAUUGCGGUGAAGAUGUGUGUAGAAAGGGAGCUAACUCUAGCAGCAAAGUGGGCACAAGUUCAUACAGUUAAGCCAGAAAAAGGUGGAUCUCCCGUUGCACACAUGGUGUUUGAUGAAAGGCCAAGCAAGGGUCUCAACUGCAAGAGCUUGCUCCAGGUCCAUGAAGCCUACUGAGGUAUGUAUACGUUCCUUCCAUAAACAUUUAACCUUCAAUAGGUAGCAGUGCACCCAUUCAACCCAGAGAUUGUGCUCUCUGUUGGGAUGGACGAGUUGAUUAAGAGUCACUUAUAAAAAAAAAAAAAAAAAAAAAAAAAAAAACAAAGCACAACGAUUGUGACAGAUGUGAGCAUGAUUGGUCAAUUCGGUGUUGGCUUCUACUCUGCUUACCUUGUUGCUUUGUUGCUGUUGAAUUGAACCUGAGUAACGUCGUGAAUGUAAUGUUGGUUUUUGAAACUCCAAAUUGUUAUAUUUGUCUCUAAACCAUGGGAAGUUUGAAUCCCUCUGUUUUUCUUUGAAACCAAACAGAUAAGUUGUUUGGGAUUGUUUGAAUCCUCAAAUUCGGUUGCUUGGUACUUACUUUAUGUUGUUGAUUUCUUGUAGUUGGAGUACAUGGAGGAGAGGAGGAUUAAGGACCUUGUGAAAAAGCAUUCUGAAUUCAUUAGCUAUCCUAUCUAUCUUUGGACUGAGAAAACCACAGAGCAAAAAAAAAAUAAAAAAAAAAAAACCACACACACACACAUAUAUAUAUAUAUAUAUAUAUAUAUAUAUAUAUAUGGUUUUUUAUGAACUAGGAUGCAACUUGGGCAGCCAAUAUUUCAAACCUAGCUCGAGCCCAACCCGAUUCUCGUUACAAAUCUGCAACAAGCUUAACCGGAAUUAGAAUUUUAACACCAUUGUUCUGUCAAAAGAUUGCGCUUGGGAAAUCUUUUCUUCAUAAAAAAAAGAGGAGGGGGGACAAUUUACUCAAAAAAAAAAAAAAAAUCAUUUUAAAGUCAUCAUCUUUGUAUUGGUUUCAUUUCUCGAUCAUAAAGGACUAUAUAUAUAUUUUUUUAAGUUGCACCCCUAGUAUCUGAUUUGUGAUUAUUUUUUAUUUUUUGUUUUGUUUAUUGUAGAUUUCCAUUGUAUAGGGGAUCAUGUCGGCCCUUACUCAGCAUCCUAUCCUUUGACUUCACAAUGUGCUUCCAGAAAAGGAAAGUACAGAUAUUCUUGCCUGCAUGGGACACAUAUAUCCGUGAUAUAUAUAUAUAUAUAUAUAUAUUGUAACUUCUAAGAUAUAAAAAAAAGCAUUACUGAUGCUACUAUUUUAUGAUUUAAUCAGGCGUCUUUGUUUGACCAACAUGACUUAAAAGUGCUAAAAAAGCUUUUAUCUUCUUCCCUUUCUAUGAUUUAACUGAUGCUUUUUUGCAUUCUCUGUUUUCCAUAAUUUUUAACGGCAGUGUUAAAAUUAAAAAUUCAGGCCGAGAAUAUUUUUAGAUGAUGUCACUAGCUAACGCGUAAGUAAAUGCAUGAGCUUUAUUCAACAUUUAUUUUUUUACUUGGGUGUCAGCUAGUAAUUGACAUUCCCUGACCAUCUAACAAUUGACCUCAAUCAAAUUAAAAUUCAAUGCAAUAUGCCAACAAACCUCCACCAAUCUGUAUGUUGAAAACCAAUAAAGUUUCAUUGAUAUCAUGCAUGUUUCAUUAAGUCAACCAUCCAUUUAAUCAUUUUAAUACAUCAUGCAUGUAUAUCUAUAUCUGAACAUGUAUAAUUAUUAUAUUCUAAUGAACAAUUCAAAAGGAAUUUUUGACUCAACAAAUGAAUUAAAUUUAACUAAUAAACUAACAAUGUAUACCUUUCAAUUGUCAUCAAUCAGGUCAUAUACAAAGAGAUCCACGUUUCACCAAGUCAACCAUCCAUUUAAUGGUUUUAAUGUAUCAUGCACAGUGCAUCGGUUAUUGGCUGGAUUUUGGUGUCUCUCUAUUGUAAGUCAACAUUAAUCUUCAUGAACUAUAUAAUUUUAAAAACCUACAACUUGAGAUUUGAAUAUUUCUAUGUAUUGCCUUGAUCUAAUGCUGCAUCAGUUUAUAGUGCAUUUUGUUUCGAGGAGUUGAACAAAAUUCCUUGAUUGAAACUGUUGAUUGGGCAAGAUACGUUAAGCGUUCAACUCUCCGGCUUUAAAAACAUUUUCCUUUUGUUUCAUGAGAAUAUAUAUACAUUGUGAUUCUCAUGGAGAGCGUAUACGUUUACAUGCAUAUUUUAUUAGGAGUGCUGGUAUUGCAGUCACGCAUAAUUUGUUUGGCACUUCCUCGCUUAAACUUCACAGAUCAAUUGGCUCUCCUCCACUUCAAGAAUUAGAUCAAGCCUGAUCCAAACAAUGUAUUGGGUAGUAAUUGGAGCAGAACUACCAACUUCUGCAGCUGGCUUGGUGUGACCUGUCGUCCACACAGACAAAGAGUCACAGCCUUGGAGCUUCCUGGCAUGGACUACAAGGAACCAUCUCUCCUUAUGUUGCCAAUCUCUCCUUUCUCGUGACUCUAGAUCUUUCAAACAACAGUUUCCAUGGCACUUUAACACACGAGAUUGGACGUUUGGGUCGUCUGCAAGAUCUCAUUUUAGAUGAGAACAAGAUGGAAGGACAAUUGCCCCAAACAUUAAACCAAUGCCGAAAGCCUGAAGUCCUGGGGCUUUUGAACAACAGAUUCAAUGGAGUCAUACCGGAAGAGUUGGGUACAUUGUCCAACCUCUAUUUUCUUGGUCUUGCGAGCAAUGAUUUCAUGGGUACUAUCCCAUCCUGUCUAGGCAACAUCUCAACAUUGGAGGUAUUGGCACUCGAAUACAAUGCAUUGACAGGUUCAUUUCCUCAGACUAUCUUUAACAUCUCUUCUUUACGUACCAUUUCUCUCAUGAAUAAUAGCAUCUCUGGUAGUCUUCCAAUGGACAUUUGCCUACUUUGUCCUCAACUCGAAGGACUUUAUCUUUCUUUCAACCAUUUCGGUGGCCAAAUUCCAACCUCGAUAUCUCAUUGUAGAAUAGAUUCGAGGGAAGAAUGACAUUGGGAAUCUACAAACACUAGAGAUUUUUUAUCUUGGAAGGAACAACUUAACCGGUACGAUUCCUCCUUCCCUUGGUAACAUUUCAAGUUUACUUGGGCUUGAGAUUGGAAAUAAUCACCUUCAAGGAGAGAUUCCUGGGGAGAUCUCACAACUUUCGAAUUUAAGGGUACUGAACUUACAUACAAAUAAUCUCACUGGUAGUAUUUCGGAGCAAAUGUUUAACAGGUCUGCUCUGCAAUUCCUUGACCUGCCUUCCAAUACUCUUGAUGGAAAUCUUUCAUCAACUAUUGGUUUUUGGCUUCCUAAUCUUGAAGAAUUAAAUCUAGAAGGCAAUCAGUUGGGUGGAAACAUCCCCUUGUAUCUAUCUAACUCUUCUAAGAUCACAAGACUGUCGCUGGCUCACAACUUAUUUACUGGGCCAAUAUCUCCUAGCUUAGGCAACUUACAUCUCCUUAGAACACUCAAUAUGCAAAAAAAUUGACUCACGGGAGAAAAUAGAAAUGGGGAAAUUACUUUUCUCACUGCUUUGACAAAGUGCAAAUCUUUGGAAAGGUUGGUCUUCGAGAGCAAUCCCACUGAAGGUAUCUUGCCAAAUUCAAUUGGAAAAUUUUCGUGUUCGCUUCAAACUUUUGUUGCCUCUAAAUGUCAAAUUAAGGGUCCGGUUCCAGGAGAAAUCGGUUCAUUGAAAAACUUGAAGUUCCGUAGAUUGAGCAACAACAACAUAAAUGGAUGCAUCCCAUCAACAAUUGGAGGAUUACAACGGUUGUAUCUUGAUGGUAACAAGAUUGAAGGACUUAUUCCCGUUGAGAUUUGGCCAUCUUCAAAGUAAUAACCUCUCUGGCCCAGUCCCAACUUGCAUGGGGAAUCUGUCUUUUACAAAGGUUAAUCUUAAGAAAUAACAAUCUUUCCUCUUCCAUUCCGGUGAGCUUAUGGGCCCUUGAAAUUCUGCUGCUCUUGGAUUUAUCAAAUAAUUCUGUAAGUGGUUACCUGCCAUCACAAAUGAAAAUGCCAAAUGUCAUUGACGUUGUAGAUUUAUCUUGGAACAAUAUACAAGGAAGCAUUCCUCAAGCUAUUGGAUCCUCCCAAAGUCUUAGCUCCCUCAAUUUGUCAAGGAACUGAUUACGGGGCACAAUUCUGGAAUCAUUUGGUGACUUGAUUUCAUUGGAAUUCAUGCAUCUCUCUUACAACAAUUUGUCAGGUACCAUCCCUAAGUCCUUAGAAGAACUUUCCCAUCUCAAAUAUUUGAAUCUUUCUUUCAAUAAGCUCUCCGGAGAGAUUCCAAAUGAGGGCACUUUUGUUAACUUUACUGCUCAAUCUUUUAUCGCAAAUGAGGAUCUCUGUGGGCCGUCAAUUCUGCAAGUUUCGGCUUGCAAAAUGUACAAUACGCAGAGAACACGGACUAAACAAGUUUUUCCCAAAUAUAUUCUUCCAGUAGUUGCAUCAGUAGUAAUCUUUGUUGUUUUGAUUUAUUUGAUGAUACAAUGCUGAGGAAAUAAAGCAUGUAGUUCAAAUUCAGUUGACUCGAUAUCUAUAAUGGAGCAUAGAAUGAUAUCAUAUACGGAGCUUCACCAUGCCACAAAUAAUUUUUGUGAUGCCAACUUGCUUGGAUCAGGAGGCUACGGUUCUGUAUACAAAGGAGUUCUUUUAGAUGGGACAAUCAUCGCUGUAAAAAUAUUGAAUUUGGAACUUGACGGAGCUUUUAAAAGCUUUGAUGCAGAAUGUGAAGUGCUGCGAAAUGUACGCCUUCGGAAUUUAGUAAAGGUCAUAAGUACAUGCUCCAAUCCCGAGUUAAGAGCUUUGGUUCUGCAGUACAUGUCUAACAGAAGUCUUGAGAAGUGGUUAUAUUCUGAGAACUAUUGCCUAGAUUUCCUUCAAAGAGUGAGCGUCAUGUAUGAUGUUGCUAGCUUUGGAAUAUCUCCCUGAUUGUCAACCGGAGCCUUUGGUCCAUUGUGGUUCUUUUAGAUGAAGAAAUGGUUGCUCAUGUGGGAGAGUUUGGAAUUGCAAAAAUUUUAGUUGACAAGACUGCAGCACAAACCAAGACUUUAGGUACACUCGGCUACAUUGCACCAGCGUAUGAUUCUGAAGGAAGAGUGUCUACGAAAUGUGAUGUUUAUAGCUACGAAUGAAUGUUGCUAGAGAUGUUUACGAAAAGGAAGCCGGCAGAUAACAUGUUCGUUGGAGAACUGAGUUUGAGGUAAUGGUGGGCCUCUUAACUAGGGCUGAUGUUCAGUUUGGUCCAGCUUUAAGCCCAUAUUUGUGGCCUGCAAUUAAAAAGGACCAAUUGACUAUGGAUUUUAGUUUGGGCUGGUGGGACGUGGAAUGCUUUAUGGGUGCAGGGUCUUUGUGUCCAUAUCUCAUAUUAUGGUGGUUUUGUUUGGUGUUUGUUGUAUGCCUUUGAGUAGGGUUGUUUUCUUUGGUUGUGCUUUGUAGAUGCCGUAUGGCUGUUCUUAUUGUCAGGAAGGAAAAAAAAAAAAAAAGUUACUUAUUGGGGACACCAGAUGGGAGAGAACCAGUGAAUGACCUACAAAAUUGUCUUUCUUUUUUUUCUUUUAUUUUUUUCCAAAAGUUCAAGCAAAUGCCCGCACUAUUUACCCUAUAGCGCACAAAUGACUUGUGAAUUAUCUAAGAGAAAAGUUCAACAUCCUAGUCUUUUUUUUUUU